CCUACGGGGUGCAGCAGUGGGGAAUAUUGCACAAUGGGCGCAAGCCUGAUGCAGCCAUGCCGCGUGUAUGAAGAAGGCCUUCGGGUUGUAAAGUACCUUCAGCGGGGAGGAAGGCGAUAAGGUUAGUAACCUUGUCGAUUGACGUUACCCGCAGAAGAAGCACCGGCUAACUCUGCGCCGGCGACCGCGGUAAUACGGAGGGUGCAAGCGUUAAUCGGAAUUACUGGGCGUAAAGCGCACGCAGGCGGUCUGUCAAGUCGGAUGUGAAAUCCCCGGGCUCAACCUGGGAACUGCAUUCGAAACUGGCAGGCUGGAGUCUUGUAGACGGGGGUAGAAUUCCAGGUGUAGCGGUGAAAUGCGUAGAGAUCUGGAGGAAUACCGGUGGCGAAGGCGGCCCCCUGGACAAAGACUGACGCUCACGUCCGAAAGCGUGGGGAGCAAACAGGAUUAGAUACCCCUGUAGUC
rnacentral:rRNA from 1 species